UUCAGACUCUGUCUGAGCUCAAACCCAUCUGCACAAGAGAGACAAACAAUUAAUUUCCUCCACCCAAAAAUACAUCCAUUUUAAAUGCAUUUAAAACUUCUACUCCAAUUAUUUUAGCAUUGUACUCUGCUACUAGAAAUAUAGAAUUUCGUGUUGUGUUAGUAGAUGUUUUAUUCUUAUGGCACUGUUUAUGAACUCUUUUGUAAAGCCUUAGUCAAUCUGUUCCUCUGGUGAAACCCUUAAAGUUGGGCAGGUUUGAGCAGGGACAACAACAGGAUCAGGACCUAAGGAGUACCAACAUUAUAGAAGAAAUUAUAUACAUACAAACCAGACUAAUAUGCAUCUCCUCAUCUUUCAGCUCCACUUUAUUUCCACUCUGAUCCACUGCUUGCCAUGUGAAUUUCACCAGGUCUGGGAACAUGUCUCUCGCCUGGCACAGCAGUACACGCUUUUGAUUUGUUUGUACCUUGGACAUUCCGUACACAGACACUUUGGGAGGCACUGUUUUUGUUUCACCUGCCAUUAUAUAGGAGACAACAUACAAUUAUUGAACAAUCAACAAGUGAUAACAACAUGUAUAUCAAAACAUGUAUUCAUGGUUGAUUUGGAGCCUAUGUUGUUUUAUAAUUCAGUAAAAAUUUCCUUGUGUAUGAAAUGUGUUAUAUAAAAGGAGCCUGCCCUGAUUUGAUUUGCUUAACUCUUUUCUAACAGAUUUGUUUUAUUUGCUUUGACUCUGUAAAGAACCUCUGAAAGUCACUGAUGAUCAAUGGUGUAAAUGUUAAUGUUAAACCAGGUACAGUCCUGGAAGCAAAAGGGCACCAGGACAGAGAAUUCAUUCAGAAAUAUAUGAAAUCAUUCACACACACAUUUACACACCCAUUUACACUAAGGGGCAAUUCAGCAUAGGUGAAUGCUGUAUUUAUAUAAAAGAGAACAGACAACAUUUUUUUGUAAGCUGUUAUAGAAAAGUUCUUAUACCCCUGAUUGUGCAUGUCAUUUUAAAUUUCAUAUUUUUGUGUGUGUGCGUGUUGUAUUUUACUGACUGAGCUGCUUUAACACAAACAUUUCCCUCAUGGGAUCAAUAAAGUCUAUCUAUCUAUCUA